AUGAUGAGGGAGAUUUCGGCCGAGUGGUGAGGAGACUCGCAUGGGCUGA
rnacentral:snoRNA from 1 species